rnacentral:lncRNA from 1 species
AUGAAGAGUGCUCAGAGAUCAGCUGGUCUAUUUAACAGACUGCCAAAUAACCUCCUUCCAUGUGACAAGUCCAGGUCAAAGGUCAGAGAAAACAGCUUCUGCUUCAGGCCUGGUUCUUGGCUCAGCUCAAGCUGUUUGGUGCCCUCUUGUGGAUGUUAUUUAUCAUCACCCAAAGGAUUAAUGGAGCCAGGUUUACACACGGAUUUGUGUUUGGAAAGCGGACCCCCACCUCCCUGCUUGGGCUCACCCACUUGCUUGGCAUCCACGGCCGCCGUGUUCUCCCGGCUGAAGCUGAGCUCGGUGAUGGCCAUGGUAUUGAAGUCUUUGGCUCACUCAAACAGUUCUCUGCGGACCAGCAAAGAGACCUGGGGUACCGGGGGGGGGCAGGGACGGGACUAACCGAUGAACCAUUAGUUCUUCCCGAAUGUCUGAGCUUCAACUCAUUUCUCUAAGAAGACUCCAGCCCCUUGUAGGAAGCUGAUUUCUAUGACUUUAACCACUUGUUAGCACCCACAGCUCAUUGUCAUAGAUGGGGGGGGGGGGGUCAUGGGUAGGACCAAUGAACUAAAAACUCCAUCUUUGUGAACAUAAUGCCUAGAUUUUUGAACUCCUCUUCCUGUUGGAGGAGCUUGUUUCUAGCUGCUUUGCAGUCUGUUGUGGAGGCCUGAUGCAGCCUCUGCCAUCUAUUGGAGCUAAACUGAAACUGCUUCAGCGCCUUCAUCACAAGCCUCUUCUUCUUCAAAGCUCAAAAGGUUAAGUGGACCUCAUUGACAAUGGAGGGGCGUUUGUCAUAGUCCUGACCCAGCCGCUGGUACAAGAUGGCAGGUUGGAUGUCAGAACCCGAAGCGUCAAGUUCACCAUAUGAAGGCCAGACACGGAAAAGACAUUUUGUUUCAUCUUGACUUACAAGAUCACACAAGGAUCCGAGCGUACGACAAAUACAAAAAUGGGAAUAAGAACAUGACCGAGUGCAGGUGCGCACAUUUACUUUGAAAAUAUAAAGCAACAAACUGUAAUCAGAUUACACAAACUCAGAGAAUUGGAUACAUUGUAUUCAGCUUCGAAAGACUGCAUUUUAGAUCACACAGAAUAUAUUUAGAUAAUGAAAGUUGUAUUUGGGUACAUAUGGUGUAAUCACAUAAUUACAUAGACUAAUCAAUUUACACAAUCUGUGUGUGGAUAACAUCAACUCUAGAAUUACACAAACCAUCUAACCUUCUCUGCAGUUUUGUUCAUUUAAAAACCAAACCUGUAGAAUUCAGAUGGUCUAAAUCUUUCUGUGGGAGUGGAUGGGUCAGGAGUCCCACCUUUGCUUCCAGUGAGUGAGGAGACCUUCCGGUCGGGCUCAAAUGUCGUAGAUGAUGGGGUUUAGGAACCAGGGGAUCCUGAGUUCAACAUCCCAGCUUUGGCUGUGAAUCGGUCUGGUGACUGAACACCCCCUCCUGCCUCUGGUCUGAUAUCGGGCAGACCCUUAUUCUUUGUGCACGAGCAGCUCCGACCUUUUCAACUCUCAACAGGAUGUUUGUUCCAAUGAAUGCAGUCCUGAUCCGGGUCUAGACUCUGUAGUCUGAUGGUCAGGCAACCUGGUGAAGUGAAGCCAGAGCCUAAUGUAGAAUUCCAAUUGAAGCUGCUGUCUUACAGCCAAAGCGCAAUAAAGACUCAACUUUGACCUUUGGUCCGUCCUCAUUCAUGCUGACCCCCCCGGAGUAGUAAUCCUGCUCUGGAGCUCACACAGGGUCAAAACAUUGAGGUUGUUUCCAUCCGUACUUCAUCCUGCAGACGGGGUGCCUAAAGAGGCAGCAGAGAACUGUGGGUAUUUUCUGACACUUUGAUGACCUUUUUAGCUCACAUUUUAUGAAUAAACUAUGAAUUCAUAUUUUUGAACUCCAUUGAUCUUUAUCGAAACUUUACAGGAAGAUCUGAUGUUCAAUGAUGAGAGCAGCUUCUGAAGUUUUGAAGAUGGCAGCAUGUAAACACGGUCACACACUUCCUAACAGACAGUGAAGAGCAGCUUCACACACAAGCUCUAGGAGACGGUUGUCAUGGAGACAGACUGACCUGCAGUGGAGUCCCUCAGCGAUCACAGUAUCCAUCUGAACCUGCUUAAGAUGAUGGCCCUGUGUCCCUCAACUGCAGAAAACAGAAAUGUGACGGGUUGGAAAAAGUCAAGACAGUGAAAUAAGUAGUUUUGAUGUAAGCAAAAAAUGAUGCUCUUAUUUUGUAGAUCUAGCAGCUUCCUCUUUUCCAGAGUAAAGGGGGAGGAAAGUUGUUUUUCAGAGCAGAUUGAAGCUUGUUUUCCUGCAACACCCCCAUGUGACCCACAGAGAUUCAUCAAUUAAUCACAUGGCUGACUGCAAAAUAUACUAACAUACUCAAAUUUAUAUGAUCAGCACAAUUCGAAUUUUGAAAAUCAUUUUGAAAAACAGAAGGAGUGAAAGUAAAAAGAACUUAACAGUCGUUGUCGGGGCAACAAAAUGUCAUUUAACAAUCAUUUUUGUUUAUUCAAAAACUAAAACCAGUUUCUUGUUUUUUCAUUGUAUGCAGCAUUUUCUACCUAUUCUGUAUUGUAUAUUUUCUUUAAACAGUUAUAAUAAAAGUUUUUCUUUGAGAACAUUGGCUGUCCAGCUGGAUUCUGCUAAAUAAACGUUAUAGCAAAAAAAUUAUAAUCAAAAAUCAUAAAUAUUGCUAUUUCCUUUUGCCAAAUGCUUUCUUGUUACUUGAAGUUUAAUAGUUUGCAUUUUUUAUCUCAAAUCUGCAAAAGAAAUCUGUUGUGAAAACAAAUUACUGUUGUUUAACGCUGACUUUUUAUCCAGCUGUCUGCUCAAAUUUAAAUCCGGUUUAGCAAAAGUGCAACACUUACAUCGAGUUGACUUCAUGACUUUGUGAAUUUAAAAACUGUCUUUGUUUCACAAAAGUAAGAAUAAAGUGCUCUCUCGCUAGCUUACAGCCUUUUACAACCUCGACCUAACAUACCGGUCCAACAAAAAUGGCGAGGAAAAUGAAAGUUAUCCAGCUGUACAGUUUUGAUCCAGAUACCAGCUCAGAGGAAAAUGAAGACGUGAAUGAAUCUGGUUGUCUACAAGUGGAUGCAUCAGAAUGGAGCGGAGCAGGGAGCUUGUGGCCUGCCAAGUGUCACAAAUACGGAUUUACAAUGAUUUGAAUAAAGAAAUAUUCAGAAAUGCAAUUUUUCCGCUUUAUUUAU